CCUACCUGAGCGUACUGCUCCUUGAGUGGACUGGAGAGCCGGAGGACAGCACAGACGUCAGCUCCAAGUCUGUGGGACAGGGAGAUCAGAAUCCAAUUAACCUAGAGGCUCCAGGAGUUUCCAGCUACCAGAAGAGGAGUCCAGAGGCCUGGGUUGAAGUCCCAUUUCUGCUAGUGGAUUAUUAUGAAACUCAUAUGACUAUAAAAGAGCCUUGAAACUAACAGGUAAAACCUAUAAAAUGGUAAUUACAGUA